rnacentral:rRNA from 1 species
GAUGAACGCUGGCGGCGUGCCUAACACAUGCAAGUCGAGCGAUUCUCUUCGGAGAAGAGCGGCGGACGGGUGAGUAACGCGUGGGUAACCUGCCCUGUACACACGGAUAACAUACCGAAAGGUAUGCUAAUACGAGAUAAUAUGCUUUUAUCGCAUGGUAGAAGUAUCAAAGUUUUUGCGGUACAGGAUGGACCCGCGUCUGAUUAGCUAGUUGGUAAGGUAACGGCUUACCAAGGCGACGAUCAGUAGCCGACCUGAGAGGGUGAUCGGCCACAUUGGAACUGAGACACGGUCCAAACUCCUACGGGAGGCAGCAGUGGGGAAUAUUGCACAAUGGGCGAAAGCCUGAUGCAGCAACGCCGCGUGAGCGAUGAAGGCCUUCGGGUCGUAAACUGCUUUUAUGAGUGAAGAAUAUGACGGUAACUCAUGAAUAAGGGUCGGCUAACUACGUGCCAGCCGCCGCGGUAA